rnacentral:tRNA from 1 species
GCCCGGGUGGCGGAACUGGUAGACGCGCGGCCCUCAAAAGGCCGUGGCCUUCGGGCCGUGUGGGUUCGAGCCCCACCCCGGGUA